rnacentral:sRNA from 1 species
UACGUGAAGUUUCGACUAAAGUUGGUGA